CUCGUUCCGCGUUUUUUUGUGUUGCUUGUUCCGAGUGCCGCUACCGUUGCCGUGUCCGUGUUCCAUGUUCGGAGUGUCCGUUUAUGUGUUUCUAGUGAAGUGGUGAAGUGUCUAGGAGUGAACUCUCGCGAUUAUUUUGGUGGUCUCGUGCGGGGAAAAAGAAGAGGCGAAGAGGAGGACGGUCAACACAGCCGUGACGUUGGACGAGUUCAAGAACAGCUGGAGAGUCCAUCGGCGACGGACGACCACCUCGGGCUGCUGUAGAACCUGCCGGAAGAGGUGAGGAGGACGACGGUCCGAACAUCCGGGACGUUGGACGAGUUCAAGAACAGCUGGAGAGUCCAUCGGAGACGGACGACCACCUCGGGCUGCUGUUGAACCUGCCGGAAGAGGUGAGAAGGACGACAGUCCGAACAUCCGGGACGUUGGACGAGUUCAAGAACAGCUGGAGAGUCCAUCGGCGACGGACGACCACCUCGGGCUGCUGAUGAACCUGCCGGAAGAGGCGAAUAGGAGGACGGUCAACACAGCCGGGACCGUGGCCAAGUUCAAGAACCUAUUCCAAGAACAUCUCCUUGGCCCCCUCGAAAAACUGAACCUGCCGGAAAAGGCGAGGAGGACGGUCCAAACAUCCGGGACGUUGGACGAGUUCAAGAACAGCUGGAGUGUCCAUCGGCGACGGACGACCACCUCGGGCUGCUGUUGAACCUGCCGGAAGAGGUGGGGAGGACGACGGUCCGAACAUCCGGGACGUUGGACGAGUUCAAGAACAGCUGGAGAGUCCAUCGGCGACGGACGACCACCUCGGGCUGCUGUUGAACCUGCCGGAAGAGGUGAGGAGGACGACGGUCCGAACAUCCGGGACGUUGGACGAGUUCAAGAACAGCUGGAGAGUCCAUCGGAGACGGACGACCACAUCGAGCUGCUGUUGAACCUGCCGGAAGAGGUGGGGAGGACGGCGGUCCGAACAUCCGGGACGUUGGACGAGUUCAAGAACAGCUGGAGAGUCCAUCGGAGACGGACGACCACCUCGGGCUGCUGUUGAACCUGCCGGAAGAGGUGGGGAGGACGACGGUCCGAACAUCCGGGACGUUGGACGAGUUCAAGAACAGCUGGAGAGUCCAUCGGCGAAGGACGACCACCUCGGGCUGCUGAUGAACCUGCCGGAAGAGGCGAAUAGGAGGACGGUCAACACAGCCGGGACCGUGGCCAAGUUCAAGAACCUAUUCUAAAUCCGAUUCCAAGAUUAUCUCCUUGGCCCCCUCGAAAAGCUGAACCUGCCGGAAGAGGUGAGGAGGAGGAACAUCCAGGACGUUGGACGAGUUCUAGAAUAGCUGGAGAGUCCAAUGGCGACGGACGACCGCUCGGGCUGCUGCUGAACCUGCCGGAAGGGCGAGAAGGAGGACGGUCCGCACAGCCGGGAUUGACAUACUUGAGACUUUGCCGGAGACGGUUGACCACUUUCGGUUGUGGUUACUGAAUCCGCCGGAAAAAGCAAAGCCAAAGA